GACGAACCUUGCAAACGUUAUUCGGAAUUACUGGGCUUAAAGGGUGCGUAGGCUGUGCAGAAAGUUGGGUGUGAAAUCCCUCGGCUCAACCGAGGAAUGGCAUUCAAAACUACUGUGCUAGAGGAAUACAGAGGUAAGCGGAACUUCGGGUGGAGCGGUGAAAUGCGUUGAUAUCCGAAGGAACACCGGUGGCGAAAGCGGCUUACUGGGUAUUUUCUGACGCUGAUGCACGAAAGCCAGGGUAGCGAACGGG
rnacentral:rRNA from 1 species